UACGAAGGGGGCUAGCGUUGCUCGGAAUUACUGGGCGUAAAGCGCACGUAGGCGGAUUGUUAAGUCGGGGGUGAAAUCCUGGAGCUCAACUCCAGAACUGCCUUCGAUACUGGCAAUCUCGAGUUCGGGAGAGGUGAGUGGAACUGCGAGUGUAGAGGUGAAAUUCGUAGAUAUUCGCAAGAACACCAGUGGCGAAGGCGGCUCACUGGCCCGAUACUGACGCUGAGGUGCGAAAGCGUGGGGAGCAAACAGG
rnacentral:rRNA from 1 species